CGGAGUGUGCCGGAGCUCGCCGGACCACUAGGAAAGGGGGGAAAAACAAAGCCCUAGUUGCUCUCUCCUUUUCCCCUCCAACAGCAGCACCUUGCUGCCUUUUGUUUCCUCCAACAGCAGCCCUAGCUGCUGCCCUUUUCUUGGCAGCACCGCCGGAGCUCACCGGAGCUAGCUGAGGCGGCCAACGACGAAGGGAAAAUAACCCUAGUUGCUGUCCUCAUUUCCAGCAGCCACACAAAACCCUUAGAAGAUCCGAGCUCGAGUGGAGCACGGUGACCUGCCGAUACUCGGAGAUUUUUGCUGUAUAUAAGUUUUGCAGACACAGGGAUCCUUUUGAUAUUACUGUUGAUUUUGGACUUUCAUAGAGUUG